rnacentral:lncRNA from 1 species
CACUUGGACUAUGCGGUGUGAGUGGAAUACCGACUUUCUUUCAAAACAAUAAUAUCUCUUUCUGCUACUGAGGGGAUUCCUCCCUUACUUGGACUUGUCAGCAAUGAAAGGUAGAGUUCAGUCAAUCACUAGAGAAUUAGCCGAGGGGGCAAGCAGGCAUACCUGGCAUACAAGUUUGAUUGUUGCCUUUGAUUCGAGGCGAGAGAUAGCCUAUCACUGAACCCUAAAUUCUUAUAUGAUUGUAGUCCACUCAAUUCUUCAAGUAAGGAGCGGCUUGGGGGGCGAGUAACGUCUAGGAAAGCAGUAAACCAUAGAGCAGGAACUGGCACCGAGUAAACCCUCUUCUUAGUUGCUAUCCUCUUAUCGUACCCUAUUCAUUGAGUGUGCUAGCAACCAACAUAGGGAAUUUGCCUAAUAGAGCAACGAAUGCAUUAGUAGCGCAUUGGUGAACUUGAAUAGCGGGCAUUGACUUCUCACUUGUGCUUUUCUCUUUGGGACAGUAAACCCGGACUACUCUACUGGUUGGGCAAGGGGGAAGGAACCUAAAAUGGAGUUAUUGCAACAUAGCUCGGUGAUUCUGCUUCCACUAAUUGAUUUCCUCGGAUUGGAAGACAUAGGCGAUGAUCCUUAUUGCGUUUUCUCGUGCAAGAGAAGGAACCGCUCAUAGGCUUGACUCGCCCUUAACGGUACUAGACUUCAAGUAUAGAGUUAGACUAAAGAAAGGUAUGGUGAUUGACUAGCGGCCGUGCUACUUCUUUCUAGUGGCUUGGGUCUGACUUUCCUACUUGCCCACUUGAGAGUGGAUUUCUUUCUUUCUUAUGAGACCCCUAAACAUUAAGGACAUGUAAUCCAUCGUGCCAUCUCCGCAAAAGUUCCUAUGUUCAGUUAUGAGAGAAGGCGUCGAUGUCAAGUUUCUAUUUCGAUUUAUUCUAUGGUUCUUCGAUUCCAUACUGGAUCCUGGGAACAAUCUAUUUCCGUAAGAUCCAUUUGUUUAUUGUUCAGGAACGGAACUUUGAGUGGUGGGGCAAAUCACUAUGUAGACUUCAUCCGAAGCGGUUGUUCUCUCUGCUUAUCUCUUUCUUAGAAUCAAUUCCUUUACUUUACUCUAAGAGGGGACCUGCUAAAGGUAUCGAGACAGGGUCAGUAAGGCUCUUCAAGUAAUUCAAUUGUGCGCUUGUCCCGGCUAACAAAGUCUAUCAGUGGGUUCGGCCUUGAAAGAUAGAGGCGAACAGGAAUUGGAAUUCUCCGAGUUGGUAUGGUUCACCGAAGAUGUUAUAGCAUGGUUUGUUCACACGGGUGUUUUCGUGCAUUCCUACAUUAACGACUUUCCUCUUUCAGUAUAGUAUUGGCUUUUCAAUAAAAGUGUAUCAAUAGAUAGGGCAAGUUUCUGAACACUAAAUAUAGGGCUCUCUGCUUCGGGUAAUUCUUUUUUAGGCUUCUCUGGAUCUGGAAAAGUCCAUAGGGGCGGUGGCAUUGAAGGCCAUAUUCUACAUUUUGUAAUGGAAUUCUUCUAGUUUCAUAAACUCUUUAUUUGGCUUUGGCCCGCUAAGCCUGUUUCAGACGAAUAAAUCGGGGUAGGUAUUUCAGCAACUGUAACUCACUCAUACUCAUUUGAGUACAGGUAGGGUAGCAUGGACUACUUGCGAGUCAGGAAUUGGAUUUCUAUUCCUAUGGGCUAGUUCCGCUACUAACAACCUAAUCUCUUUAUAGUUAUUGUUGAAUAGUUUAUGAACAAUAAUGGGUCAAACUCAUCAGAGAAUAUAUUAAUAUAGAGAUAUUCUUAAUGCGCAUAGCGUAAGGAGCUGAGCUGUUGUAAUUCAAUUAUCGUGAACAGUGUAGACAGGUGCACCAAUAUCCAAAUACGGGGUUGAUGCCACUUUGAAUUGAUGAUGCGGAUUCUAACCUUGGCAAGUCGGGAGUUACCCGGCUUAGAAUCGAUACCGACUUAAUAUAAGGGCCACUAAUACUGAUGAAACAGGACUACGAAACUACUAGACUACUUUCAGGGGCCAAAAAAGGGACUUGUUCAUAACUAAUCAAAAUACGUAAUUGCUUGUACCGUUGCGAGUCUAGUAGUUGCCUGGACUACUACUUGUUAAAGAAUAAGAUAAGACUGAAUGCUUAGGUGCAAGGGGCUCGUAUAACAAAUAGUACCUUUCAAAUCUGACUUUCAUAGACUAUAUUUCAUUCAACAACUUUCCUUGACGCCGCCACCACAGAGUCUGGGCCCGAAAACUGGAUUCGCUUAAGAAAAGAAGCCGAAUUGACUCUCGAAUCUCCUUCUUGCCCAACACCAGAAAUGAAUACGAGUUUCUUUCGAGUGUUUGUCGCAGAGAAGAGAAGAUCAAAUGAAUUAUUUGUUGACUACUUGGUUAGGAUAAGAGCGGAGGGGUAGCUACUCUCUCUAUCUUUAGGGGCUGUCUAAGACCUCUAAGUGGAAUUAAUGGAUUAGAUAAGGGAAUGCGCUAGCAAUUAUUAUAAGGGCCCACUUCCUAUACUAUCUAAUACUUAUAGAGACAGGAGCCUCAUUCUGUUAUUAAAGAUGAAAUGGGGCAAUCUGAUCGUCACUCACUACAGAAGCUAUAAAAGGUUAAGGUGCAUUAAUAAUAAUAUAUGGAUAUGGCGCAUCACAUUGAUUGACUAGCGGUCCUGCACUAAGUAAGAAAGUCUCCCUUGCCUCUCUCUUCUCUGGUAUUGACCUAUCCUCUGAGUCUCCCACUCUUAAAAGAAUGGAAUGCCCAAGAUCCAUCCCUCUUCUAAGGAGAUGCCAUUUCAUUAUAACAAUCGAUGAACAAUUGAUGGCCGAACACAUAGCAAGUAAUAAAGAUAUGAUAACUGUAAAACACAAGACUUGGGAGUCCCAAUUUAGCCGUAGUUAACAAAUACUAAUUCCACUGACAAGGAAGCAAGACCAUAAGCCUGGGAAGUUUGUCUUGGUAAGUUAGUCUUGAUCCAGUAGUAGAUAACAGUGCCUCUUGUCCUUCUUACUUUCUUCUUGAAUAACUGUAUUCCGUUUUCUACCUUCCGCGAACUGAUUCAAUAACGGAUUGAACUCGGGAUGUAGCCGGCUACUCUGUAAGGAAAUACAGAAUGAAACAUCACCCUAGCUGCCCUAUGACGCCCGCAUCAACACCUGUUCGAUUCUUCCCUAUGAGGUGAAACGCGCAUUAAGUAAUCUGUAUUCCGAGUGGCACAGGGCAAUGAAGCAAGUAAUAAUCUAAGACUGCUGUUGAAGAGUCAAAGGCUUUCACACCAUCUGAUCGAGUAGACAAAACAGGAAGUACGGAAUGCGGAAGGGUAGUUUCAGAAGCGAGGAAGAUUACAUUAGUGAAUGAAUCUGUGUUGGCGCCCCGAGAGAGAAGCUUUCCGGGCAGUAAGUGAUAGAACUAUAGGUAUGUAGGAUCAAGAUUCAAUCAAUAGGGUAAAGUCCAUCAGCAGCAAGAGUCAGCAACGAAGCGGGACGUGAAGCCGACGAAGAAAUAAGGAACUGUUGAAUCCUAGUAAGCGGGCCAAUCUGUACAAAAUGAUAUAUUAUCUUAUUAUAGGAUGACUUAUUCAACUUGAAAGGCCCCGCUCCUGCCGCAAUUAAUUAGGUUCACUCAGGAAAGCUCAUUCCAGUCCUAAAGUAAGGUUAAGGCGAAAGGGAGGUGGUAUCUUUACUACAUUCUAUAUCAAGUGCUCCACCAAGGGCAGAAAGAUCGAAAGCAUUAGCCGCACUUAGUCUUGAUCCAACAAGCUACUCCUCAUGUUGCGCGUUAGUCUAAUUGGUAGUCCAGAGUCCAGAGCCCCAUAACUGUAUUAGUUUGACAGAGUCGAGGCCCUUAUAGUAAGUUUCGGGAAGCUGUGUACUUAAUAAGAAGAAAGAGAAG